rnacentral:rRNA from 1 species
GAUACACGGACCAAGGAGUCUAGCAUGUGCGCGAGUCAUUGGGACACGACUAAACCUAAAGGCGUAAUGAAAGUGAAAGUCCGCCUCGCGCGGACCGAGGGAAGAUGGGCGUCGGUCUUGUUACAAUGCCGCGUCCCGCAUUCCCGGGGCGUCUCGUUCUCAUUGCGAGAAGAGGCGCACCAAGAGCGUACACGCUGGGACCCGAAAGAUGGUGAACUAUGCCUGGUCAGGACGAAGUCAGGGGAAACCCUGAUGGAGGUCCGUAGCGAUUCUGACGUGCAAAUCGAUCGUCGGAACUGGGUAUAGGGGCGAAAGACUAAUCGAACCAUCUAGUAGCUGGUUCCCUCCGAAGUUUCCCUCAGGAUAGCUGGCGCUCGUUGCGCGCGAGUCUCAUCCGGUAAAGCGAAUGAUUAGAGGCAUUGGGGCCGAAACGGCCUCAACCUAUUCUCAAACUUUAAAUGGGUGAGAUCUCCGGCUUGCUCGAACCGAUGAAGCCGCGAGAUACGGAUCAGAGUGCCAAGUGGGCCAUUUUUGGUAAGCAGAACUGGCGCUGUGGGAUGAACCAAACGUCGAGUUAAAGCGCCCAAAUCGACGCUUAUGGGACACCAUGAAAGGCGUUGGUAACUUAAGACAGCAGGACGGUGGCCAUGGAAGUCGGAAUCCG